rnacentral:rRNA from 1 species
GACGAAGGAUGGAAGCGUUAUCCGGAUUCAUUGGGUUUAAAGGGAGCGUAGGUGGCCUUAUAAGUCAGUGGUGAAAUCUCUGGGCUUAACCCAGAAAUUGCCAUUGAUACUGUAGGGCUUGAGUAUAGAUGCCGUUGGCGGAAUAUGACAUGUAGUGGUGAAAUACAUAGAGAUGUCAUAGAACACCGAUUGCGAAGGCAGCUAACGAAACUAUAACUGACACUGAGGCUCGAAAGUGUGGGGAUCAAACAGG